rnacentral:tRNA from 1 species
UUCCUGGUGGUUCAGUGGCUAAGACUCUGCACUCUGAAUGCAGAGAGCCCAGGUACAAUCCCUGGCUGGGAAA